AACUACAAGGUCUCCGUAGGUGAACCUGCGGAGGGAUCAUUACACAAAUAUGAAGGCGGGCUGGAACCUCUCGGGGUUACAGCCUUGCUGAAUUAUUCACCCUUGUCUUUUGCGUACUUCUUGUUUCCUUGGUGGGUUCGCCCACCACUAGGACAAACAUAAACCUUUUGUAAUUGCAAUCAGCGUCAGUAACAAAUUAAUAAUUACAACUUUCAACAACGGAUCUCUUGGUUCUGGCAUCGAUGAAGAACGCAGCGAAAUGCGAUAAGUAGUGUGAAUUGCAGAAUUCAGUGAAUCAUCGAAUCUUUGAACGCACAUUGCGCCCUUUGGUAUUCCAAAGGGCAUGCCUGUUCGAGCGUCAUUUGUACCCUCAAGCUUUGCUUGGUGUUGGGCGUCUUGUCUCUAGCUUUGCUGGAGACUCGCCUUAAAGUAAUUGGCAGCCGGCCUACUGGUUUCGGAGCGCAGCACAAGUCGCACUCUCUAUCAGCAAAGGUCUAGCAUCCAUUAAGCCUUUUUUCAACUUUGACCUCGAUCAGUACGU
rnacentral:rRNA from 1 species